rnacentral:rRNA from 1 species
AGUGAACGCUGGCGGUAGGCCUAACACAUGCAAGUCGAACGGCAGCACAGUAAGAGCUUGCUCUUACGGGUGGCGAGUGGCGGACGGUUGAGGAAUACAUCGGAAUCUACUUUUUCGUGGGGGAUAACGUAGGGAAACUUACGCUAAUACCGCAUACGACCUACGGGUGAAAGCAGGGGAUCUUCGGACCUUGCGCGAUUGAAUGAGCCGAUGUCGGCUUAGCUCGUUGGCGGGGUAAAGGCCCACCAAGGCGACGAUCCUUAGCUGGUCUGAGAGGAGGUGCAGCCACAGUUGGUCUGGGAGACGGCCCAGACUACUAUGGGAGGCAGCAGACGAGAAUAUUGGAGAAUGGGCGCAAGCCGGAUCCAGACAUACCGCAUGGGUGAAGAAGGCCUUCGGGUUGUAAAGAGCUUUUGUUGGGAAAGAAAAGCAGCAGGGUAAUACCCCGCUGUUCUGACGGUACCCAAAGAAUAAGCACCGGCUAGCUUCGUG